GGCUAGAGUUUGAUCAUGGCUCAGGACGAACGCUGGCGGCGCGCCUAACACAUGCAAGUCGAACGGAGUUGAGAGGAGCUUGCUUUUCUUGACUUAGUGGCGAACGGGUGAGUAACGCGUGAGGAACCUGCCUCAAAGAGGGGGACAACAGUUGGAAACGACUGCUAAUACCGCAUAAGCCCACGGUCCCGCAUGGGAGAGAGGGAAAAGGAGCAAUCCGCUUUGAGAUGGCCUCGUGUCCGAUUAGCUAGUUGGUGAGGUAACGGCCCACCAAGGCGACGAUCGGUAGCCGGACUGAGAGGUUGAACGGCCACAUUGGGACUGAGACACGGCCCAGACUCCUACGGGAGGCAGCAGUGGGGAAUAUUGCACAAUGGGGGAAACCCUGAUGCAGCGACGCCGCGUGGAGGAAGAAGGUCUUCGGAUUGUAAACUCCUGUUGUUGGGGAAAAAGAGGAUGGUACCCAACAAGGAAGUGACGGCUAACUACGUGCCAGCAGCCGCGGUAAAACGUAGGUCACGAGCGUUGUCCGGAAUUACUGGGUGUAAAGGGAGCGCAGGCGGGUAUGCAAGUUGGGAGUGAAAUACAUGGGCCCAACCCAUGAACUGCUCUCAAAACUGUGUAUCCUGAGUAGUGCAGAGGUAGGCG
rnacentral:rRNA from 1 species